rnacentral:rRNA from 1 species
ACCAAGGCGACGAUCAGUAGCCGACCUGAGAGGGUGAUCGGCCACAUUGGAACUGAGACACGGUCCAAACUCCUACGGGAGGCAGCAGUGGGGAAUAUUGCACAAUGGGCGAAAGCCUGAUGCAGCAACGCCGCGUGAGUGAUGAAGGCCUUCGGGUCGUAAAACUCUGUCCUCAAGGAAGAUAAUGACGGUACUUGAGGAGGAAGCCCCGGCUAACUACGUGCCAGCAGCCGCGGUAAUACGUAGGGGGCUAGCGUUAUCCGGAUUUACUGGGCGUAAAGGGUGCGUAGGCGGUCUUUCAAGUCAGGAGUGAAAGGCUACGGCUCAACCGUAGUAAGCUCUUGAAACUGGGAGACUUGAGUGCAGGAGAGGAGAGUGGAAUUCCUAGUGUAGCGGUGAAAUGCGUAGAUAUUAGGAGGAACACCAGUUGCGAAGGCGGCUCUCUGGACUGUAACUGACGCUGAGGCACGAAAGCGUGGGGAGCAAACAGGAUUAGAUACCCUGGUAGUCCACGCUGUAAACGAUGAGUAC